rnacentral:rRNA from 1 species
AGAGUUUGAUCCUGGCUCAGGACGAACGCUGGCGGCGCGCCUAACACAUGCAAGUCGAACGAGCGAGAGAGAGCUUGCUUUCUCGAGCGAGUGGCGAACGGGUGAGUAACGCGUGAGGAACCUGCCUCAAAGAGGGGGACAACAGUUGGAAACGACUGCUAAUACCGCAUAAGCCCACGGCUCGGCAUCGAGCAGAGGGAAAAGGAGCAAUCCGCUUUGAGAUGGCCUCGCGUCCGAUUAGCUAGUUGGUGAGGUAACGGCCCACCAAGGCGACGAUCGGUAGCCGGACUGAGAGGUUGAACGGCCACAUUGGGACUGAGACACGGCCCAGACUCCUACGGGAGGCAGCAGUGGGGAAUAUUGCACAAUGGGGGAAACCCUGAUGCAGCGACGCCGCGUGGAGGAAGAAGGUCUUCGGAUUGUAAACUCCUGUUGUUGAGGAAGAUAAUGACGGUACUCAACAAGGAAGUGACGGCUAACUACGUGCCAGCAGCCGCGGUAAAACGUAGGUCACAAGCGUUGUCCGGAAUUACUGGGUGUAAAGGGAGCGCAGGCGGGAAGACAAGUUGGAAGUGAAAUCCAUGGGCUCAACCCAUGAACUGCUUUCAAAACUGUUUUUCUUGAGUAGUGCAGAGGUAGGCGGAAUUCCCGGUGUAGCGGUGGAAUGCGUAGAUAUCGGGAGGAACACCAGUGGCGAAGGCGGCCUACUGGGCACCAACUGACGCUGAGGCUCGAAAGUGUGGGUAGCAAACAGGAUUAGAUACCCUGGUAGUCCACACUGUAAACGAUGAUUACUAGGUGUUGGAGGAUUGACCCCUUCAGUGCCGCAGUAUAACACAAUUAAGUAAUCCACCUGGGGAGUUCGACCGCAAGGUUGAAACUCAAAGGAAUUGACGGGGGGCCCGCACAAGCAGUGGAGUAUGUGGUUUAAUUCGACGCAACGCGAAGAACCUUACCAAGUCUUGACAUCCUGCGACGCAUAUAGAAACAUAUUUUUCCUUCGGGACGCAGAGACAGGUGGUGCAUGGUUGUCGUCAGCUCGUGUCGUGAGAUGUUGGGUUAAGUCCCGCAACGAGCGCAACCCUUAUGGUCAGUUACUACGCAAGAGGACUCUGGCCAGACUGCCGUUGACAAAACGGAGGAAGGUGGGGAUGACGUCAAAUCAUCAUGCCCUUUAUGACUUGGGCUACACACGUACUACAAUGGCGUUAAACAAAGAGAAGCAAGACCGCGAGGUGGAGCAAAACUCAGAAACAACGUCCCAGUUCGGACUGCAGGCUGCAACUCGCCUGCACGAAGUCGGAAUUGCUAGUAAUCGCAGAUCAGCAUGCGGCGGUGAAUACGUUCCCGGGCCUUGUACACACCGCCCGUCA